rnacentral:rRNA from 1 species
CACGGCGGGAGCAAGCGUUAUUCGGAAUCACUGGGCGUAAAGAGCGCGUAGGCGGUCUCUUAAGUCAGAUGUGAAAGCCCGGGGCUUAACCCCGGAAGUGCAUUUGAAACUAAGGGACUUGAGUAUGGGAGAGGGAAGUGGAAUUCCUGGUGUAGCGGUGAAAUGCGUAGAUAUCAGGAGGAACACCGGUGGCGAUGGCGACUUCCUGGACCAAUACUGACGCUGAGUCGCGAAGGCGUGGGGAGCAAACAGG